rnacentral:rRNA from 1 species
AGUUUCUUGAAAUUUUUUUAGAAAUAUUUUCUGCUCAAUGAUUUUAAAUGGCUGCGGUAAUUUGACUGUACGAAGGUAGCAUAAUCAUUUGUCUUUUAAUUGAAGACUGGAAUGAAUGGAAGUACACAAAACUUUCUUUCUUCUAUUUUUUUUUAGAAUUUGUUUUUUUCGUGAAGAAACGAAAAUGUAGUAGGGGGACAAGAAGACCCUUUUGAGCUUUAUUUUAAUUUAAUUUUUAAGUUAGAUAAAAAUUUGGUUGGGGCGAUCAAGGAAGAAAAAAUCUUUUUUGUAAUUUAUAUUUUAGAUCUUUAGUUUUUAAUUAAUAGAUUAAGUUACCAAAGGGAUAACAGCGAAAUUUUUUUAGUGAGUUCUUAUUUAAAAAAAAGAUUGCGACCUCGAUGUUGACUUUUAAUUUCCUUUUAGGUGUAGAAGCUUUUUAAGGAGGUCUGUUCGACCUUUAAAUUU